GUGACGAAGCGACGCCGCGUGGGUGAGGAAGGCCCUCGGGUUGUAAAGCCCUGUCAGGAGUUAAGAAACAUAAGUGCGCUAAUAUCGCAUUUAUUUGACAAAGGCUCCAAAGGAAGCCACGGCUAACUCUGUGCCAGCAGCCGCGGUAAUACAGAGGUGGCAAGCGUUGUUCGGAAUUAUUGGGCGUAAAGAGCACGUAGGUGGGUUUGUAAGUCAGAUGUGAAAGCCUUCUGUUCAACGGAAGAAUUGCAUCUGAAACUGCAAGUCUUGAGUGUAGGAGGGGAGAAUGGAACUUCUGGUGGAGCGGUGAAAUGCGUAGAUAUCAGAAGGAACGCCGGCGGCGAAAGCGAUUCUCUGGCCUAUUACUGACACUCAGUGUGCGAAAGCUAGGGGAGCAAACGGGAUUAGAUACCCCGGUAGUCCUAGCCGUAAACGAU
rnacentral:rRNA from 1 species